rnacentral:lncRNA from 1 species
AACAGUCGAAACAUAGUCUACAUAGAAAAAUACCCGAAGAACUGACCUAUUUCUUCUUCUUCUUCUUCAGCCUUUUUAGCUUUGCCAUCGUAUCACUGAAAAGUGGGUUUAAAAAAAUAAGUCAUAGAAUUACAUAAUUACGAAAACUUAAAAGUAAGAAAACCGAAAAGAAGAGCCAUAUUCACCACCAAACGAGAUUUGAAAUGAAGACCGAUUCACCAAUAGAUAUACGAAACGAAGAGCGGCCUCCAAACAACGAACCGAUUCACAACAAGAUUCACCGAAAGGAAGAGCAAAAUCGAAAACGAGGCGGAAGAAAAAAAUGGAGAAGAAGAGAAACAAGAGCGGG